CAGGGGAGCCCUAGCACAGGUGCUGCAUGGCCGUCGUCAGCUCGUGCCGUGAGGUGUUGGGUUAAGUCCCGCAACGAGCGCAACCCCGCCGUUAGUUGCCAGCGGUUCGGCCGGGCACUCUAACGGGACUGCCCGCGAAAGCGGGAGGAAGGAGGGGACGACGUCUGGUCAGCAUGGCCCUUACGGCCUGGGCGACACACGUGCUACAAUGCCCACUACAAAGCGAGGCCACCCGGCAACGGGGAGCUAAUCGCAAAAAGGUGGGCCCAGUUCGGAUUGGGGUCUGCAACCCGACCCCAUGAAGCCGGAAUCGCUAGUAAUCGCGGAUCAGCCAUGCCGCGGUGAAUACGUUCCCGGGCCUU
rnacentral:rRNA from 1 species